UCUCCAAUAAACCACUCCUCUCUCUCUCUCUCUCUCUCUCUCUCUCUCUCUGUUGACGUCGGCUCCAUCGCCGACAUUUUUUUCCUUUGUUUCCCUAAAGGCAUGGAUAUAUGAGGGGCUCUUUGCUUCUACAAUUUCUUUUACUAAUUUGAGAUUGGGAAUUGGCUACUCUGAUGGUCACUUGUUCGUCAUGGCAAUGAAUCAGGGAGGGCGACCAUCGAUUUUCUGGAUCGUUCAGAAAAUGAAGAAUUGAAAUGUGAAAAAAAGAUGAACAACCCAAAGUUCCAAACUAUGUGAAAAGUGGAAGCAGUUGGAAAUGUUGAUUGCCUAGUAAAAAAAUCAAGUCCGUUACUCCACCUUUUAAUUGCAUUCUCCCACAGAGAUACUUAACAAGCAAUUUUCAUCCAUUGGAAAGGAAGAAAUAUUGACUUCAAAGCUGUGGCGAUUGAUUAGAGUAAUAGGAGCAGGAAGGAGUAAAGGGAAAAUCAUGGCCUUUUUCUUUUUCUUUUUUUUUUUUGUAAUUCAGAAGGAAUUCAAUUCAUGGCCGCCCCUGUUUGGGAGUAAAUCUUAGAAACAUUAUUAUUGCCUCUUUGU